rnacentral:rRNA from 1 species
UACGUAGGGGACAAACGUUAUUCGGAGUUACUGGGCGUAAAGGGUGCGUAGGCUGCUCAGUAAGUCAAGUGUGAAAUUCCACGGCUCAACUGUGGAAGAGCACUUGAAACUGGAGGGCUUGAGGGAAGGUCAGGAAGAUGGAACUCUCAGUGUAGGGGUGAAAUCCGUAGAUAUCUUGAAGAACGCCAGUGGUGAAGACGGCCUUCUGGAUUGAUACUGACGCUGAGGCACGAAAGAUAGGGUAGCGAACGGG